rnacentral:rRNA from 1 species
UACGGAGGGUGCAAGCGUUAUCCGGAUUCACUGGGUUUAAAGGGUGCGUAGGUGGGUUGAUAAGUCAGUGGUGAAAUCUCCGAGCUUAACUUGGAAACUGCCAUUGAUACUAUCAGUCUUGAAUAUUGUGGAGGUCAGCGGAAUAUGCCAUGUAGCGGUGAAAUGCUUAGAUAUGACAUAGAACACCAAUUGCGAAGGCAGCUGGCUACGCAUAUAUUGACACUGAGGCACGAAAGCGUGGGGAUCAAACAGG